GGGCCCGCACAAGCGGUGGAUUAUGUGGAUUAAUUCGAUGCAACGCGAAAAACCUUACCUGGCCUUGACAUGUACCGAAUUUAGCAGAGAUGCUUUAGUGCUCGAAAGAGAACGGUAACACAGGUGCUGCAUGGCUGUCGUCAGCUCGUGUCGUGAGAUGUUGGGUUAAGUCCCGCAACGAGCGCAACCCUUGCCAUUAAUUGCCAUCAUUUAGUUGGGCACUUUAAUGGGACUGCCGGUGACAAACCGGAGGAAGGUGGGGAUGACGUCAAGUCCUCAUGGCCCUUAUGGCCAGGGCUUCACACGUAAUACAAUGGUCGGUACAGAGGGAAGCCAACCCGCGAGGGGGAGCCAAUCUCAGAAAGCCGGUCGUAGUCCGGAUUGUUGUCUGCAACUCGACAGCAUG
rnacentral:rRNA from 1 species